AUGAACGCUGGCGGCGUGCCUAAUACAUGCAAAUCGAGCGAACAGAUGAGGAGCUUGCUCCUCUGACGUUAGCGGCGGACGGGUGAGUAACACGUGGAUAACCUACCUAUAAGACUGGUAUAACUUCGGGAAACCGGAGCUAAUACCGGAUAAUAUAUUGAACCGCAUGGUUCAAUAGUGAAAGACGGUUUUGCUGUCACUUAUAGAUGGAUCCGCGCCGCAUUAGCUAGUUGGUAAGGUAACGGCUUACCAAGGCAACGAUGCGUAGCCGACCUGAGAGGGUGAUCGGCCACACUGGAACUGAGACACGGUCCAGACUCCUACGGGAGGCAGCAGUAGGGAAUCUUCCGCAAUGGGCGAAAGCCUGACGGAGCAACGCCGCGUGAGUGAUGAAGGUCUUCGGAUCGUAAAACUCUGUUAUUAGGGAAGAACAAAUGUGUAAGUAACUAUGCACGUCUUGACGGUACCUAAUCAGAAAGCCACGGCUAACUACGUG
rnacentral:rRNA from 1 species